GGGAAGUCCGGUGAGAUUCCGGCGCUGUCGCGCAACGGUAUGCAGGCCCUGACCUGCGAGCCCGAAUACC
rnacentral:ncRNA from 1 species